CGGACAGAUGGGAGCUUGCUCCCUGAUGUUAGCGGCGGACGGGUGAGUAACACGUGGGUAACCUGCCUGUAAGACUGGGAUAACUCCGGGAAACCGGGGCUAAUACCGGAUGGUUGUUUGAACCGCAUGGUUCAAACAUAAAAGGUGGCUUCGGCUACCACUUACAGAUGGACCCGCGGCGCAUUAGCUAGUUGGUGAGGUAACGGCUCACCAAGGCAACGAUGCGUAGCCGACCUGAGAGGGUGAUCGGCCACACUGGGACUGAGACACGGCCCAGACUCCUACGGGAGGCAGCAGUAGGGAAUCUUCCGCAAUGGACGAAAGUCUGACGGAGCAACGCCGCGUGAGUGAUGAAGGUUUUCGGAUCGUAAAGCUCUGUUGUUAGGGAAGAACAAGUACCGUUCGAAUAGGGCGGUACCUUGACGGUACCUAACCAGAAAGCCACGGCUAACUACGUGCCAGCAGCCGCGGUAAUACGUAGGUGGCAAGCGUUGUCCGGAAUUAUUGGGCGUAAAGGGCUCGCAGGCGGUUUCUUAAGUCUGAUGUGAAAGCCCCCGGCUCAACCGGGGAGGGUCAUUGGAAACUGGGGAACUUGAGUGCAGAAGAGGAGAGUGGAAUUCCACGUGUAGCGGUGAAAUGCGUAGAGAUGUGGAGGAACACCAGUGGCGAAGGCGACUCUC
rnacentral:rRNA from 1 species